AAAGAUCGAAUGGGGAGAUUCAUCGUCAGCGGCGUUGGCCUCACGAUGGCUCGUGAUGUCGCGGGACUUCGGUCUCGGUGGCACGCGGUCGUCGCGUUACGUCCGACGUCGUCGGCGUGCACUUCUCCCCUAGUAGAACGUCGCGACCCGUUGGGUGCCGAUCUACGGCCCGGGUGGGCGUCUGUCGUGUCGUCUCAAAAGCGCACGCGACAAACCCCCGGUCGCCAGAUCGGCUGCCCGGCGGUACUCGCAUGGUAUCGGGCCGCAAUACUCGAACUGCGUCAAGCCCGUCGCAAGCGCGGUCAGUUUUGUCGCGGAGGUACGGACCUAGCGCCGUCCCCGUGCCUGGCCAGCUGUUUGUGUGUGAUACCGGUCGGCGACGCUACUGCUUUGGGUAAUCUCAGGACCCGUCUUGAAACACGGACCAAGGAGUCUAACAUGUGCGCGAGUCAUUGGGACCGCAUGCCUAUAGGCGAAAUGAAAGUGAAGGUCGGCCUCGUGCCGACCGAGGGAGGAUGGGCCGMGUCACGAUGCGGCUCCGCACUCCCGGGGCGUCUCGUUUCU
rnacentral:rRNA from 1 species